AGAGUUUGAUCCUGGCUCAGAACGAACGCUGGCGGCAGGCUUAACACAUGCAAGUCGAGCGCCCCGCAAGGGGAGCGGCAGACGGGUGAGUAACGCGUGGGAAUCUACCUUUUGCUACGGAAUAACUCAGGGAAACUUGUGCUGAUACCGUAUGUGCCCUUCGGGGGAAAGAUUUAUCGGCAAAGGAUGAGCCCGCGUUGGAUUAGCUAGUUGGUGAGGUAAAGGCUCACCAAGGCGACGAUCCAUAGCUGGUCUGAGAGGAUGAUCAGCCACACUGGGACUGAGACACGGCCCAGACUCCUACGGGAGGCAGCAGUGGGGAAUAUUGGACAAUGGGCGCAAGCCUGAUCCAGCCAUGCCGCGUGAGUGAUGAAGGCCCUAGGGUUGUAAAGCUCUUUCACCGGUGAAGAUAAUGACGGUAACCGGAGAAGAAGCCCCGGCUAACUUCGUGCCAGCAGCCGCGGUAAA
rnacentral:rRNA from 1 species